rnacentral:rRNA from 1 species
UGCUAGUUGUACGAGUUCAGACUCGUAGCGAAUAGCUCAGUAACACGUGGCCAAACUACCCUUCGGAGCACGAUACCCUCGGGAAACUGAGGCUAAUAGUGCAUACCACACUCACUCUGGAAUGACGAGUGUGUCAAACGCUCCGGCGCCGAAGGACGUGGCUGCGGCCGAUUAGGUAGACGGUGGGGUAACGGCCCACCGUGCCGAUAAUCGGUACGGGUGGUGAGAGCCAGAACCCGGAGACGGAAUCUGAGACAAGAUUCCGGGCCCUACGGGGCGCAGCAGGCGCGAAACCUUUACACUGCACGAUAGUGCGAUAAGGGGAUCCCAAGUGCGUAGGCAUAGAGCCUACGCUUUUGUACACCGUAGGGAGGUGUACGAAUAAGGGCUGGGCAAGACCGGUGCCAGCCGCCGCGGUAAUACCGGCAGCCCGAGUGAUGGCCGAUUUUAUUGGGCCUAAAGCGUCCGUAGCUGGCCGCACAAGUCCAUCGGGAAAUCCACCCGCUCAACGGGUGGACGUCCGGUGGAAACUGUGUGGCUUGGGACCGGAAGGCGCGACGGGUACGUCCGGGGUAGGAGUGAAAUCCCGUAAUCCUGGACGGACCGCCGAUGGCGAAAGCACGUCGCGAGAACGGAUCCGACAGUGAGGGACGAAAGCUAGGGUCUCGAACCGGAUUAGAUACCCGGGUAGUCCUAGCCGUAAACGAUGCCUGUUAGGUGUGGCUCCCACUACGAGUGGGUGCUGUGCCGUA